rnacentral:tRNA from 1 species
CCUCUCGUAACGUAGGGGUAACGCGCUCUAUCUAGAGAACAGGGAGUCGUGAGUUCGAUUCUCACCGAAAUGA